rnacentral:rRNA from 1 species
AGAGUUUGAUCAUGGCUCAGGACGAACGCUGGCGGCGUGCUUAACACAUGCAAGUCGAACGGAAAGGCCCUUCGGGGUACUCGAGUGGCGAACGGGUGAGUAACACGUGGGUGAUCUGCCCUGCACUUUGGGAUAAGCCUGGGAAACUGGGUCUAAUACCGAAUAGGACCACGCGCUUCAUGGUGUGUGGUGGAAAGCUUUUGCGGUGUGGGAUGGGCCCGCGGCCUAUCAGCUUGUUGGUGGGGUAAUGGCCUACCAAGGCGACGACGGGUAGCCGGCCUGAGAGGGUGACCGGCCACACUGGGACUGAGAUACGGCCCAGACUCCUACGGGAGGCAGCAGUGGGGAAUAUCGCACAAUGGGCGCAAGCCUGAUGCAGCGACGCCGCGUGAGGGAUGACGGCCUUCGGGUUGUAAACCUCUUUCAGCAGGGACGAAGCGCAAGUGACGGUACCUGCAGAAGAAGCACCGGCCAACUACGUGCCAGCAGCCGCGGUAAUACGUAGGGUGCGAGCGUUGUCCGGAAUUACUGGGCGUAAAGAGCUCGUAGGUGGUUUGUCGCGUUGUUCGUGAAAUCUCACGGCUUAACUGUGAGCGUGCGGGCGAUACGGGCAGACUUGAGUACUGCAGGGGAGACUGGAAUUCCUGGUGUAGCGGUGGAAUGCGCAGAUAUCAGGAGGAACACCGGUGGCGAAGGCGGGUCUCUGGGCAGUAACUGACGCUGAGGAGCGAAAGCGUGGGGAGCGAACAGGAUUAGAUACCCCGGUAGUCCAA